rnacentral:rRNA from 1 species
GAUGAACGCUGGCGGCGUGCCUAAUACAUGCAAGUCGAGCGAACGGACGAGAAGCUUGCUUCUCUGAUGUUAGCGGCGGACGGGUGAGUAACACGUGGAUAACCUACCUAUAAGACUGGGAUAACUUCGGGAAACCGGGGCUAAUACCGGAUAAUAUUUUGAACCGCAUGGUUCAAAAGUGAAAGACGGUCUUGCUGUCACUUAUAGAUGGAUCCGCGCUGCAUUAGCUAGUUGGUGAGGUAACGGCUUACCAAGGCAACGAUGCAUAGCCGACCUGAGAGGGUGAUCGGCCACACUGGAACUGAGACACGGUCCAGACUCCUACGGGAGGCAGCAGUAGGGAAUCUUCCGCAAAGGGCGAAAGCCUGACGGAGCAACGCCGCGUGAGUGAUGAAGGUCUUCGGAUCGUAAAACUCUGUUAUUAGGGAAGAACAUAUGUGUAAGUAACUGUGCACAUCUUGACGGUACCUAAUCAGAAAGCCACGGCUAACUACGUG